rnacentral:rRNA from 1 species
GGAAUAUUGGACAAUGGGGGAAACCCUGAUCCAGCCAUGCCGCGUGUGUGAAGAAGGCCUUCGGGUUGUAAAGCACUUUAAGUUGGGAAGAAGGCUUUGGGGUUAAUAGCCUUGAGGAUUGACAUUACCAACAGAAUAAGAACCGGCUAACUCCGUGCCAGCAGCCGCGGUACUACGGAGGGUGCAAGCGUUAAUCGGAAUUCCGUGGCGUAAAGCGCGGGUAGGCGGCUGAUUAAGUCGGGUGUGAAAGCCCCGGGCUCAACCUGGGAACUGCAUCCGAUACUGAUCGGCUAGAGUAUGAGAGAGGGAGGUAGAAUUCCACGUGUAGCGGUGAAAUGCGUAGAUAUGUGGAGGAAUACCGGUGGCGAAGGCGGCCUCCUGGCUUAAUACUGACGCUGAGGUGCGAAAGCGUGGGGAUCAAA